UACGUAGGGUGCAAGCGUUAAUCGGAAUUACUGGGCGUAAAGCGUGCGCAGGCGGUUGUGCAAGACAGAUGUGAAAUCCCCGGGCUUAACCUGGGAAUGGCAUUUGUGACUGCACGGCUAGAGUGUGUCAGAGGGGGGUAGAAUUCCACGUGUAGCAGUGAAAUGCGCAGAUAUCGGGAGGAACACCAGUAGCGAAGGCGGCACUCUGGGCCGGAACUGACGCUGAGGAGCGAAAGCGUGGGGAGCGAACAGG
rnacentral:rRNA from 1 species